rnacentral:rRNA from 1 species
GGGGAUUAGUGGCGAACGGGUGAGUAACACGUGGGCAAUCUGCCCUGCACUCUGGGACAAGCCCUGGAAACGGGGUCUAAUACCGGAUACUGAGCCACUUGGGCAUCCAAGUGGUUCGAAAGCUCCGGCGGUGCAGGAUGAGCCCGCGGCCUAUCAGCUUGUUGGUGAGGUAAUGGCUCACCAAGGCGACGACGGGUAGCCGGCCUGAGAGGGCGACCGGCCACACUGGGACUGAGACACGGCCCAGACUCCUACGGGAGGCAGCAGUGGGGAAUAUUGCACAAUGGGCGAAAGCCUGAUGCAGCGACGCCGCGUGAGGGAUGACGGCCUUCGGGUUGUAAACCUCUUUCAGCAGGGAAGAAGCGAAAGUGACGGUACCUGCAGAAGAAGCGCCGGCUAACUACGUGCCAGCAGCCGCGGUAAUACGUAGGGCGCAAGCGUUGUCCGGAAUUAUUGGGCGUAAAGAGCUCGUAGGCGGCUUGUCACGUCGGUUGUGAAAGCCCGGGGCUUAACCCCGGGUCUGCAGUCGAUACGGGCAGGCUAGAGUUCGGUAGGGGAGAUCGGAAUUCCUGGUGUAGCGGUGAAAUGCGCAGAUAUCAGGAGGAACACCGGUGGCGAAGGCGGAUCUCUGGGCCGAUACUGACGCUGAGGAGCGAAAGCGUGGGGAGCGAACAGGAUUAGAUACCCUGGUAGUCCACGCCGUAAACGGUGGGCACUAGGUGUGGGCAACAUUCCACGUUGUCCGUGCCGCAGCUAACGCAUUAAGUG